AGAGUUUGAUCAUGGCUCAGGAUGAACGCUGGCGGCGUGCUUAACACAUGCAAGUCGAACGGUGACCCAGGGCUUGCCCUGGUGAUCAGUGGCGAACGGGUGAGUAACACGUGGGCAACCUGCCCCUGACUUCGGGAUAACUCCUCGAAAGAGGAGCUAAUACCGGAUACGACCACUUCGGACAUCCGAUGGUGGUGGAAAGUUUUCGGUCAGGGAUGGGCCCGCGGCCUAUCAGCUAGUUGGUGGGGUAAUGGCCUACCAAGGCGACGACGGGUAGCCGGCCUGAGAGGGCGACCGGCCACACUGGGACUGAGACACGGCCCAGACUCCUACGGGAGGCAGCAGUGGGGAAUAUUGCGCAAUGGGCGAAAGCCUGACGCAGCGACGCCGCGUGAGGGAUGAAGGCCUUCGGGUUGUAAACCUCUUUCAGCAGGGACGAAGCGAAAGUGACGGUACCUGCAGAAGAAGCACCGGCUAACUACGUG
rnacentral:rRNA from 1 species